rnacentral:lncRNA from 1 species
AUAUUUGGGGUUUGGAUUUAAAAUUCAGGGGUUUCAUUUAUAAUUCAGGAUUGUUCAGUUAAUGUUUGGGGUUUGGAUUUAAAAUUCGGGGGUUUGAUUUAAAAUUUGGGAUUGUUCAGUUAAUAAUUGGGGUUUGGAUAUAAAAUUCGGGGGUUUGAUUUAAAAUUUGGGGUUGCUCAGUUAAUAUUUGGGGUUUGGAUUUAAAAUUUGGGGUUUUUAUCUAAAAUUUGGGGUUGUUCAAUUAAUAUUUGGGGUUUGGAUUUAAAAUUCGGGGGUUUGAUUUAAAAUUUGGGGUUGUUCAGUAAAUAAUUGGGGUUUGGAUUUAAAAUUCAGGGUUUUCAUUUAUAACUCAGGAUUUCUACUAAAAAUCAGGGAUUUGGAUUAAACAAGAAAGGUUUUUAUUUGAAAUCCGAGAUUUUUCAUUUAAAAGAGAGGUUUUGUUUCUGACUCUGCUCCCGGGAUUCCCCCCUGGGAUAAGGGAUGCAGCCGAGGGGAUUCUUGUGUGAUAAUCUGAAUUUUCCCGUUUUUCCUCCCCAUCUCAGGCGCUCGGGACGCCAGGAUCGAACAACGGGACAGGCUGACGGGUGAGUGCCCAGUUCCUCCCCGCGCGGGAAUUCCUGCCAGAGCCCCUCACGGGAAUUCUCCUCUUUCCUCCCCUUCCAGCGGAACUGAACGCGGAGCUCGGUGAGUCCUGGGGCUGCUGGGGG